GACGGAGGGUGCUAGCGUCGUUCGGAAUCACUGGGCGUAAAGGGCGCGUAGGCGGCCUUGCAAGUCGGUUGGUGAAAGCCCGGGGCUCAACCCCGGAGGUGCGGCCGAGACUGCAGGGCUGGAGGCCGGAAGAGGAGGGUGGAAUACCCAGUGUAGAGGUGAAAUUCGUAGAUAUUGGGUGGAACACCGGUGGCGAAAGCGGCUCUCUGGUCCGGACCUGACGCUGAGGCACGAAAGCGUGGGGAGCAAACAGG
rnacentral:rRNA from 1 species